UGGGGAAUAUUGCGCAAUGGGGGAAACCCUGACGCAGCAACGCCGCGUGAAGGAUGAAGGUUUUCGGAUCGUAAACUUCUUUGAUGAGGGACGAACAAAAUGACGGUACCUCAAAAACAAGCCACGGCUAACUACGUGCCAGCAGCCGCGGUAAUACGUAGGUGGCGAGCGUUGUCCGGAAUUACUGGGUGUAAAGGGCGUGUAGGCGGGGAUGUAAGUCAGAUGUGAAAUCCCAUGGCGCAACUGUGGGGCUGCAUCUGAAACUAUGUCUCUUUAGUGCCGGAGAGGGAAGCGGAAUACCUAGUGUAGCAGUGAAAUGCGUAGAUAUUAGUAGGAACACCAGUGGCGAAGGCGGCUUUCUGGACGGUAACUGACGCUGAGGCGCGAAAGCGUGGGGA
rnacentral:rRNA from 1 species